rnacentral:RNase_P_RNA from 1 species
GAAGUCGACUAGACAAUCGCUAUCUAUACUUUGCUAUGCGCAGAUAUAGGUAGAGGAAAGUCCGGGCUCCGCAGAGCAGAGUGCCAGGUAACGCCUGGGAGGCGAAAUUCAGUUUUGAUAUAAGCCUAUGGAAAGUGCCACAGAAAAUAGACCGCCUAAGUAAACACUGUAUUCGUAUAGUGGGUGACGGUAAGGGUGAAAAGGUGCGGUAAGAGCGCACCGCGCAACAGGCAACUGUUUGUGGCAAGGUAAACCCCACUCGGAGCAAGACCAAAUAGGAGUACGCUAUGGGUGGCUCGCCCUGUACUCGGGUAGGUUGCUUGAGGUGUACGGUGACGUGCAUCCCAGAUGAAUGGUUGUCCACGACAGAACCCGGCUUAUCGGUCGACUUCCAAC